AUUUUAUUUUAUAAUUUUUAUACACAUAGUGAGCUUCUAAUAAUCCCCUAGAGGAAGUCUCUAUAGCUAAUAUUCCUUUUAAAGUGUUAGGCUUAAUAUCUAAUUUACAAACAAAUGCACAAAAAGUAAAAAAGUGGGUAGGACCUGUAUCAAUCAAAGCUCUUGCAUAAGUAUCAUAAAUGUACAACAUACCCUGGAUAAGGACAGGAGUG
rnacentral:lncRNA from 1 species